UACAGAGGUGGCAAGCGUUGUUCGGAAUUACUGGGCGUAAAGGGCGCGUAGGCGGCCCGCUAAGUCGAACGUGAAAUCCCCGGGCUCAACCCGGGAACUGCGUCCGAUACUGGCAGGCUUGAAUCCGGGAGAGGGAUGCGGAAUUCCAGGUGUAGCGGUGAAAUGCGUAGAUAUCUGGAGGAACACCGGUGGCGAAGGCGGCAUCCUGGACCGGUAUUGACGCUGAGGCGCGAAAGCCAGGGGAGCAAACGGGG
rnacentral:rRNA from 1 species